AAAAAUUUUGUGAAGUUUCAGAGAUAAGAGGAGAGGGGGUGGGUCUCGUUAAGGCGAACAGAGUUUAUUUCAAGAAAGCGAGCAAAAUAUUGUCUGAACUGUGCAAAUACAAGCCUGUCGUCGUUGUUGAUAGCUACUAAGUCUUGACGGUGACUUGUUUGUGAGUACGGUAUGCCUUUCUGAAUGGAGUAUGCUUUGUACAACAUUGCUUAUGUUUGUAAAAGGAUUUCACUCACUCCUUGAUUAUUGAUGGAUGUCGAUGUUAUUAAAGUCAUCAUAGCAUGUAUGUUUUGCUACUCCACUGAUGUUGUUUAUGCCUCUGCAGAGAAUCUGAUAUUUCAGAAGAAUGCACUGAACAGACGACAUGGCAUUAACGGCACUCUUUUCCGCUUCAUUAUUUCAUUUUCUGUGCUUCAAGAGUCAAGGCUAAAGUUCGGUCUUUCGGUGACAUGAUCCAAAUGUUGACUUUAAACUACGGUCUCACUCUAUUCUGAUGCUGCAGCUCAAGUGUUACUCCUAAUACAGGUGCCUUGCAUUCUGAGGCUACCACGGAGUUUUCCGCUUUUGCUGCUCCUGCAGAUGCAAAUGCCUGGUGAAUAUGUCUAAUCUAUACGAAAGUCUAAGCCUUAGAGGAAGUCUACCGUCGACUCUCAAACAGGCAGCAAGGAAAGGAGCAGUGGAGCACGAGAACUUUUGAGAGAAGGGGGAAGCUUCUCUUCUUAAAAGUCAAGUUAUUUUUGUUGUUUCAAGGUCUUUGUCCGCGUCUGUGUGUUUUCCACUAGCUGAUUAGUCAUUUCGUUUUAAAAUCUUAAGAAUUAGACGAGUGAAAGUGCUCCAUUGCGACGUGUGAUUCAUUUCAAAUGAUUACGAGUAUUUAUUUGUGCAUCCGAAAUAUCAGACUCACUUUAUGAACAAAAAUCUGAAGCCGUCAAUAUUAAUUACAGUAAUAAAAUAUUAAUUAGGGAGCCUAUUGUUUACUACUAAAAUGCAAUGCUUCCAGUACCAAACCACUAAUCAACCUUGCUUAAAUUUAAUCUAAUUGCUCCACUACAACUUUGGAAUAAUUUCCUUUUCAAAAGGAGAUCGUACCCGCUGCACCAGUAGACCAUACGUCAAAGUUCUUAAAUAUGAAAAAAUAGAAAAAAUAGUCACAACAUAAAAAACACAAAUAAAAGAGAUGCAUUAUUUUGAACAUAGUUAUACAAGGACCAAUAGAGUGAAAAACAAAUAUACGUACGUCUAGCCAAGCUGACUAGAGCAUUAUGUUUCUUCUCCCCCACUUCUUAUCCCCCUAUGCAU